ensembl:lncRNA
AACAGCAAUCAGUGCAUUUGACAUUUUGGAGAUAGUAUAAAUAAAAUACUACACAAACACACUAAAAUUAGCAUUUUUGAUAAUCAAAGCAAUAUUGUAAGAAUUAGUUAGAAUUUUCUACUUGGACAUCAUUUUCUAUUUUUUUAGAACAGGAUGUACAUUAUUUUUUAAUGACUUAUAGACUAGUAGAGAAUGCUUGACUGCAUUUAGAGGUAGAAAAGCCUUUGCUUGCUCGUAAAAACAGUCAGCAGCUGCAGAAUGUUACAGAAUGCUGAUGGUAAAAUGUAUACUUGUUACUCUGAAUGUAAAAUGUAACCACAACACUGCCGGCAACACCUCUUCUUUCCUUUUGUUAUCGUUCAUUUCCUUUUUUCACUGCAAUGCUGCAAUGCAAGGCACUGUAUUUGUGUGUGCCAAUGCCGAGAAUUUCAAUGCACAAUUACUAUCUCAUUAUGUACAAAUCCGCAACAGGGAAAAUUACUCAUGUCCCAAAUAACCUUUCAGCUUUUAAAAACCACUGGAAAAUAUCUAGUCUGUGUUUAUUUUCUUUGUUUCUUCUUUUUAUAUAAAGUUCGAUUGUGUUGGAAUAAUGUUAAUUUCAUGGUAGUUUUACCAGUUUUCUUCUUUUAAUCAUUGUUUUUAUUAAGUUAAAUUCAAAUAAAGAUUACCAUAAGGGAACAAUUCAUUUUUCUCCAGAGAAAAAUGCAUGAAAAAAUCAACCAUUUGAUUCCCCUGUCAAAUGUUUGGCUGCUUUCCUCAGUCCUCCAUAAUGUUAAAUUGUGACGCAGGUAGGAAUCAGCCCCCACCCCCUCACCCCGUGUGACCCGUGCAUCUGUGUGUAAAAGCGUUGCAGUCAUAUUCGCCUGUUUUCACGUGCUCGGAGCAGCAGUGCAGAAAUGCUUGAGCAGAUGAUCAUAGCAAUGGCUGUUCUCCUCACCCUCUUCUAUGCUGAACUUACUGAAUCCUCCUCAAGCUACUGUCUCCAAAAAGCUGAAAUAAAAAGAGUGGAUGAAAAUGCAACAGCAAUUGUGUCCUGUCCAGCACUUGCAGGGAAUGAAAAACCAUCUAUCUCUCUAUACAAGGGAGAUAUAAAACUGCACUCAACAAACAUGAGUGAUGUGGACAGUAAUCAGGGGCAAGGGUUUCAGGUGUACGUACAAAACUCCUCCGUCUCAUAUAAGAUUCAAAGGGUUGAAGCCAGUGACACAGGACUCUACAGUUGCAAAAUCGACACACAGAUCAAGACAUCUGCAUCACAGACUAUAUUGCUCAUUAAAGAUGCUCUGCAGCCCAUAGAAUCAACUGCCACUUGUCCCAUUGAUCAAACGCUGCCACCUGCUUUUGCUGUUACCUGGGGGGUUAUAAUUGCAUAUGAUCUGUUCAUCACUGUCUUGGUCUGUUACCUCAGAUAUAAACUCAAGAACACAGAGCAACCUGAGAAUCCCUACAUGAACACAAGACCAAGAGGAUUCCAACGACGCUGAUGAGCUCAGCAGCAUAUAUCCAGCAAAUAUCAGCAGCGUAGCAACAUUUGUACCUCCUAUCAGCUGAGCAGUACUGCCCAGAGUGUAUUAAACAGAUCUACUAAUUGCUCUUGUAUCUAUUGCUGUUCAGUAUAUAUGAUAGAUAUUGUAGUGUAUUCACACUGGGGGUCAAAGGUUUGGAAUAAUUAGGAUUUUUGAUGUUUUUGUAAGAAGUCUCUUAUGCUUGACAAGACUGCAUUUAUUUGAUCAAAAAUCAUGUGAACCAGUGAUACUGUGACAUGUUAUUACAAAAUAACUGUUUUCCAUUUGAAUAUAUUUUAAAAUGUAAAUUAUUCCUGUGAAGACAAAGCUAAAUUUCAGCAGUCAUUACUUACUGAAAUCAUCCGAAAUAUGCUAAUUUGGUGUGGAAGAAACAUUAUUUAUUAGUACGUUUUUAUUAAGAAAUUCAUAAUAAAGCAAGGAUGCAUCAAAUUGCUCA